rnacentral:rRNA from 1 species
AUGCAAUAUGUCCAGUUUAUCUACAGAAGGGAUUUAGCAUGCUGCCCCAUAUUUGGCAAAUUUAAAACUCUGUUACUCAACGAGUGGUGUGCAGCUAUUGACCUACGUGCAUUAGUUUGCAUUCUCCAGCACUCGCCUAUUCUUGAGAAGCUGACACUUCAGCUUCAUAGGGAUAAGCGGCACCACUUCAAUGCUGUACGGGCCGAAGGAAACCAUGAUCUGACAGAAUCAUUUACAUGUGCUCACCUUAAGACAGAUAUCAUUGAACGUCCUCGCAAACGGAAUAAAGAGAUCAAUGAGAGGGCUUGGGAAAUUUCAAAGAUCUUAAACUAA